rnacentral:lncRNA from 1 species
GACCAUGGUCUUGGAGAAUGCUUUUGAACGAUGCUUCUAGCAAGUGAACUCGUUGGUACGCAAUUAUUCGUCUCAGUCUUGCUAUGUUUGUUAUACACGGAGACGAAGACACACAAUCACGCGUCACAUACGUCCGUCCUCUUUAUCACGUCAAAUACGCAGAAAUGUUUGGUCGUGUGCACGUGAACGAGAGUAUGAAUGUUCGAAUACCCUCAGCUGGUCGUAUAAAUUUGUCUGAAGGAUUGGUGAAAGAAUCAGUUGUGGUCGAGCUACCGUACAUACUGAGCUACUCGUAAGAAAUUGUGUCACGCUUAUCGCAGCCUUCGCUUGUGUAACAAAUCAAUUGAAUACGGAGCAGUCACCAAUGAAGAUUUCUGACAUUUCUUCAGCUUUUAUCUCACACCACCGUUGGAACUGUUUUGAAAUAUUUUGAUAAGUUUUCACU